UACAGAGGGGGCAAGCGUUAUUCGGAAUUAUUGGGCGUAAAGGGCGCGUAGGCGGUCGUGCAAGUGGAAGGUGAAAUCCCUCGGCUCAACCGAGGAACUGCCUUUCAAACUGCAUGACUUGAGUCCGGGAGAGGUGAGUGGAAUUCCCAGUGUAGCGGUGAAAUGCGUAGAUAUCGGAAGGAACAUCAGUGGCGAAAGCGGCUUCCUGGACCAGUACCGACGUCAGGCACGAAAGCGUGGGGAGCAAACAGG
rnacentral:rRNA from 1 species